rnacentral:rRNA from 1 species
UCAAGCUACCAAGGGCGCAUGGGGGAUGUCUUGGCAUUAGGAGGCUUUGAAGGGCGCGGAAGGCUGCGAAAAGCCUGGGGUAACCGUCAAACAGGUGAUGAUCCCGGGAUUCCCGAACUGGCUGUAACUGAAUACAUAGGUUGCAGUGGCCAACGCGGAGAACUGAAACAUCUAAGUAUCCGUAGGAAUAGAAAGAAAAAUCGAUUUCCUGAGUAGCGGCGAGCGAAAGGGAAAUAGCCCAAACCGUGGUGGUUUCCACUGCGGGGUUGUAGGGCCCUCCACCGGAGUUAUCAAACAAUUGGCUAGCAGAACGACUUGGAAAGGUCGUCCACAGAGGGUGACAGACCCGUACGCGAAAGUUAAUUGUCUCUGGAGGGUACCCUGAGUAGGUCGAGGCACGUGAAACCUCGACUGAAUCUACGGGGACCAUCCCGUAAGGCUAAAUACUCCCUAAUGACCGAUAGUAAACAAGUAGAGCGAUCGAAAGAUGAGAAGAACCCCUGUUAGGGGAGGAAUGUGAACCUGAAACCAUGUGCCUACAAGCGGUCGGAGCGCUAUGGCCUUUUGGCAAUGCGUGACGGCGUGCCUUUUGCAUAAUGAUCCGGCGAGUUACCGUCAGCGGCUCGGUUAAGGCCUUUCGGGCCGAAGCCAUAGGGAAACCGAGUCUGAAUAGGGAGACUAUUGGUCGCUGGUGGUAGACGCGAAACUGCACGAACUACCCAUGAGCAGGUUGAACCGCGGGUCAAACCGCGUGGAGGACCGAACCCACUUGGGUUGAAAACCGAGGGGAUGACUUGUGGGGAGGAGUGAAAGUCUAAUCAAGCGCAGAGAUAGCUCGUUCUCUCCGAAAUAGCUUUAGGGCUAGCCUCGGGCAAUAGACAGUGGGGGUAGAGAGACUGAAUUGGAUGGGGGCCCUUCCCGGGUACCUCACCGAACCAAACUCCGAAUACCAUUGUCCGUACCCCGGGAGUCAGUCCGCGAGGGAUAAGCUUCGCGGUCGAGAGGGAAACAACCCAGACCACCUGCUAAGGUCCCCAAGUAAAACUCAGUCACUAAGGAAGUGAUUUUGCUAUGACAGCCAGGAUGUUGGCUUAGAAGCAGCCACCAUUUAAAAAGUGCGUAACAGCUUACUGGUCGAGCAAUUUUGCGCCGAUAAUGAACGGGAGUAAGUUCUGCACCGAAGCAGUGGAACACGCUUGCGUGUUGGUAGGAGAGCGCUGUACGUCAGAUACAAGUCGCACCGUAAGGAGCGAUGGUGGGGCGUACAGGUGAUUAUGCCGGAAUGAGUAACGAUAAAGCAGGUGAGAAUCCUGCUCGCCGAAAGCCUAAGGUUUCCUGGGGAAGGUAAAUCCGCCCAGGGUUAGCCGGUUCCUUAGUCGAGGCCGAAAGGCGUAGACGAUGGAUAGCAGGUCAACAUUCCUGCGCCACAUGCCGGACUGAUGGAGGGACGGCGUCUGAAAGGUGAGGGGACGGAUAGAAAUGUCCCUCGCCUGUGUGGAGGGUAGCUGUAGGCAAAUCCGCAGCGACAUCCUGAAGCAUGGGACAAAGACGUUUAUGUUUCGAUAGUCAUCCGAAAGACGUCCAAGAAAAGCUUCUAGGGUUGAUGGCAUGUGACCGUACUAAAACUGACACAGGUAGGCGGGACGAGAAGUCCUAGGCGCUCGGGAGAACACUGGUUAAGGAACUCUGCAAAAUGGCCCCGUAAGUUCGCGAUAAGGGGUGCCCUCUUUGGUUUACGCUGAGGAGGGUCACAGUAAAUCGGCAUCAGCGACUGUUUAUCAAAAACACAGGACUCUGCUAACUCGCAAGAGGAUGUAUAGAGUCUGACGCCUGCCCGGUGCUGGUAGGUUAAGGAAGAGGGUUAGCCGCAAGGUGAAGCCCGCGACCGAAGCCCCAGUAAACGGCGGCCGUAACUAUGACGGUCCUAAGGUAGCGAAGUUCCUUGUCGGGUAAGUUCCGA